rnacentral:lncRNA from 1 species
UACCUGUACGCGUGGUCAGUGACAAGCUGGGAGAGAUGCUUUCACCUGGACAAGGGGACCCCUGGGACCCCUGGGACCCCAGCCGAGCGGGGCUGGAAUAGUGAAGUGCUUUCUAAGAAAAGCAAUGAGAGUGGGACCCCUGGGUGGCUCAGCAGUUGAGGGUCUGCCUUUGGCUCAGGGCGUGAUCCCAGGGUCCUGGGAUUGAGUCCCGCAUCAGGCUACCUGCAGGGAGCCUGCUUCUUCCUCUGCCUCUCUCUCUCUCUCUCUCUCUCUCUCUGUGUCUCCUGAAUAAAUAAGGAAAAUCUUAAAAAAAAAAAAAAAAAAAAAGAAAGAAAGAAAAAAGCAAUGAGAGCCUGACGGAAACCACUUUCUUGCCUCUCGCCAUGCAUCGGUGUGGCCAGCACCCCAGAGUCCUGUCUGUCGUCUCCUCCUUCUGUCUGUUUUCAUGCCCAGCCCCAUCCCAAGCAGACCAGACGUCAGCGGGUGCUGUGGGCCAGAAGGGGGAGGCUGCUUGCCUUUGCACUGACCUAUGGUUGUGACCUCACUGUCCGAAUACUUUGGCAACCAAGGGGCCACGUGAGGUUUCAAGAAAUGCUCGGCCUUCAAAUUCCUGCCUUGUUACAAGUUACAAAACGCUUGGUUGUCACAUUGCGGUCCCUCCGGAGUGGGUGAGGACUGGGUCUGAAAACACACCAUCGGGAUGGAACAAACCUACUUCUAAUGAGGUCAGGAAAGAAUAAGGAUUAAGAGAAAUUGACCAGAGUGGAUGAGGGCAGCACCAAUCAGAUUUCCAGGAGCAGAAGAUUGUGAAUGUGACCCUUCAUUAAAAAAGAUGUUGGCUCUGACAAAGCUUCAGGUAAAGGGCUCGGUCUUGCCCAGGGAUGGGAAAGAGGGAGGGUCAGUGUGAUUUCAGUUUUCCUGCCAGGAAACAGUGCACCAAAAGUUUACACAUUUACUCAUCAGCAUUCCAAACCUGGGUUUCUGUAGUGAUAGACUUUCUCCCCCUUCCCCUAACUCCACUCUGU